CGCUUAUCUAGAGCGGCUGAGGGACUGGCCCGUUGAAGCCCGGCAACCUGCGAACAGCAAGGUGCCAAUUCCAGCAAAAUGGAUAUCCAUUUUGGAAGAUAAGGU
rfam:Bacillus sp. CHD6a contig2, whole genome shotgun sequence.